ACGCCCGGCAGUCGCCUCCGGCACUGAUCACCGCUACUCCACUACCAACCAUAGCAAGCAAGCAGGCCAAUUCAUCACUGAGCUAGUUCAGGUACUAGCACGGAGAGAACAAGCUGCUAGAUCAUCGUCCAUGGGCAACUUCGCCGCUCAGCUCAAGGACAAGCUCCUCGGCCUCGUCGACCGCGUCGUCAGCUGCGGCGGCCGCGGCGCCGGCGCAAACAAGGAUGUACCCGAGGCGCCCGCCAAGCUGCCAAAUGUUCAGCCCAUUGCGAUCAAGCCGAGAGAUCCCAACGUGAGCGAAGGAUCAAAGGCCGGCGUCAACUGAGGCCCACCGCGAAAAACGACUCGACAUGGUCAUUGUGCGUGCAUGGUUGAUAACUUCGUUUAUCCUUGUCGGUGUUCCAGAUAAACGUCGUAUGUGCACUAUCCAUUUUCCUCUUCCAUUGGUUGUAAACUUGUAUGAAACCUUGGGGUUUAUUUUUUAUUUUCUUUUCGAUGGCCCCUUUUGAUCCAUGAGGGUUUGUGCGUGUAUUUUUCAUUUGAAACAUGCAAUCUCAAUAAAAAAAUAAUAAUUUGAUUCUCAA